AUGGAAAGAGUCAAGAGAUUGAUGAGUGUUACCUAUCGGAGACAUCCUGGUGCCGCAUUGAUUGCGAUAGCAACGAGAAAUCUAAAAAUAUGCUCAAGUAUGUGCUUUGUAUUCAAUUCCUCCUCUUAUUCGACUCCUUCUAUCUUCUUUUUCAUGCGAUUCCAUGUGUUUAUGUUGUUUUCGAUGUGA